rnacentral:lncRNA from 13 species
CCAGAGCCUGUAUCCUCAUGUCUCCUCCCCCUUUCCUUUGUCGCCCACCCCUUGGGGCAAGCAAACCUGACAGGAGGGGGCAGCCAGGGGAGGGUCGGGCUCUGCUCCCAAGGAACAAGGGACAGGACAAGAGGGAGAGGCCUCAAGCUGUGCCAGGGGAGGUUUAGGUUGGAUAUUUGGGAAGAGUUGCUUCACCCAAAGGUUUGUCCAGCCCUGGCACAGCUGCCCAGGGCAGUGGUGGGGUCCCCAUCCCUGGAGGGAUUUAAAAGCCCUGUGGAUGUGGCCCUUGGGGACGUGGGUUAGUGGUGGCCUGGGCAGUGCUGGCACAGUUGGACUCGAUGGUCUUACAGGGCUUUUCCAACCUAAAUGGUUUUGUCAUUCCACGUUUCCCUCUCCUUUUUCAGUUUGGCUGCCCCUGCCUUACUCCCUGUGCAAGGAGCUCCGCUGUCCCCAGGCUUGUCUCGGCCAUGGAACCAGUCCCUUGUCCAUCACUGAGCCAGCCCAGCUCUGCUUUACUGGCUGCUCCUCCCUGUGUGACCUGGGGAUGCUCAGGCAAAGUCCAGGAGCUGGGAAUCCCCAGGGGAAAUUGCAUCUUAAAUCACAAAAAAUCCAUGGAAACGAUGCAGGACCAGUAGAAUGAUCAGCGUUUCUGGAGCACUGCCCUUACCCAGCUCUAAGCUGCUUCUGUGGAAUUCAGAGGGCGACCUCCUGGCUUCACGUGGAGCACCAGCACAGUGAAACACAGCAAACACAAGGGGGUAGUAAUUACACCUAUUUCUUUGCUGCACAUCUGUGUAGAACUUUCCUCUGUCUUUGUCCCAUGAGCUACAAUAUGUCUUAAAAUCAAUAAAGUCAAUACCUUUAAAAAAGAUUUGUCGAUGUUGGGACUACACAUAAAAUUAGAUCCUCUGAUUAAUGCCACAACAACGUGACAGCAUCAUUGCAUUAUGGUUAGUGAAGCCCUUCGUCGUUCACCUACUAACAAAUAACUGUAUCUUGGAAUAAUAAAGACUAAAAAUUACAGCUAAAAGAAUAGUUAUUGACUCACAGAAAUAAACUGCAAACUACUCCCGUUGUGCUCCCUUCCUUAUGCAUUUUAUUGUCAUUUAUUCACGUCCUUCCUCUCCCUGGAUGUCAGAGCACUUAACAAAGGAACACUUAACAAACAAACAAUGCAGUCCCACCAUGGGGUUCAUGUGGCAACUGCUCUGCUGUAAAUAUCAGCCCAUCAUAACCAGCCCCUUGGUUCAGCAGCUCCUUGGAAAAACAGUGAUGGACACACUUUGGAGUGAGGAGCCCUCUGCUCCUCUGGGGCUGGUGACCAUGUGAAGCUCCAAAAAUUUAACUCUCUGCUUGUAAAUAUUGGACUUGAGGAUUUGUUUGUCUUUUAAAAGAUUUAUCUCAGUGGUAGGUACUUUUUUCCAAAUUUUUCCUGGUUUCAGCUUCCUCCCCAAACUCUCCUAGACUGUCUUCACAAAAAGGAAAAAAAAAAGACAAAACCAUGAAAAGUGGAGAAGGAUUUUUGAUAGGGACAUGGAGUGAUGGGACAAGAAGGAAUGGCUUUAAGCUGAAAGAUUGUAUUUUGUGUAGAUUGAUACUAGAAAGAAUUUCUUUACUGUAAGGGUGAUUUUUACACACUGAUACCUUCAGAGACAUUGUCCCUGCUUUGUGUUAACAUCAGAAGUUGGCUUUGAGUUCUCCAUCAUUUCCCUCCCUACUGCUGUAG